rnacentral:tRNA from 1 species
GAAGCCCCGGCGCCCUUUGGGGUGC